ensembl:lncRNA
AGGAAAGUGUAAGACACAACAUAAAUGGAUAUAGAAAAUUAUAGAAGGUUCUAGAAAAGAGAAUUAUAUUUGUUAUGGUCAAUGCUGGCUAAGGUUUGAUAGAUUUACUUACAAGAUUUUCAAAAAGAGCUUUAGUAUCAAAUAUACUGAUGCAAAACUAGAAACUGGUUUUCUCUCUGUUAAAAUGACAAAAUUAUUGGUCGGUCCUUCAUAAAAGGUUUGUGGUAGACUGAAUAAUGGCCCUCUAAAGAGGGCCAUAGCCCAAUCCUUGGAAUCUGUGGAUAUGUUACCUUACAUGGUAAAAGGAAUUUUGCAGAUUGAGUUAAGGACCUUGAGAUGGGAGAGAUUAUCCUGGAUUAUCUGGUGGGCUCAAUGUCAUCACAAGGGUCCUUAUAAGAGGGAGGUAAGAGGGUCAAAAUGAGAAAAAGGUGAUAUGACAACAGAAGUAGAAAGAGUUUGGAAGCUAGUUCACUGGAGGCUUUGAAGAUGGAGGAAGGGGCCAUGAGCCAGGAAUGAAAAGGGCUGGAAAAGGCAAAGAAAUGGAUUCUCUCCUGAAACCUCCAGAAGGAACCAGUUUUGCUGACCCCUUAACUUUGGCUGAAUGAGACUGAAUUUGGACUUAAGCUCUCCUGUACCAAAUGAUAUAAUGCACCCUUCUAGCUUCUUAGACUCCCACCCUAUACAUUGCCUUGGAGCUUCUUGCACCUCCUUGUAAACUGCAGGUACCUGGUGACUGAGCAGACUGUCUUGUCUGAUGAGAUUUCAUUGACUUUCUUCCCUCUCCCCUCAUGGAAAAAACAGUUUUAGUACCUACCUUUAAACUGGACUGGAUCCUGUUGCCUUGUUUGAUUGUCAAUCCUUACCGGAUUUUCAAUUCUUGCAGUUCUGACUGCAAUCCUCCGAACUGACUUUCAAAUUUUCUUCCUCCUGCCUGCCCCAGCAUCACCAAGAACUGAAACUUGACUGCUCAGAUCCCUGUCAGCACUCCUGCUUACCUUGCAGCUGGCCUUUUCCCCCCGAGAAUCUGAAGAAGCUCUGGAGGCUGAAGCCCGGUGACUUGGCGUUAACCUCGAAGGAGCCAGCACUGCAGCAGACCGUGCACGGGCUGGAAUUCUCCCUGGACAAGCCACUGCCGGACCACUGAGGAAGUCCAGCAAAAUGUUCAGGUCAUGCAUGCCCUUGUAUGAGAGAGAGCCAAGACUGUGGACAACGCCACCAAGAGCAGGGACAUCUUAGCUUCAGGAAACUCCAAGAGUGGUGCUGCAAGACUUUCUUCAGCUGACCUCUGGAACCCACUGGACCAGUUAAUUCUCCACAUUCAACUCCUAGCUCUUUACUUCAAUACAACUUUUGUAGUAUUAUUUCUCUGUUUUAGGCAUCCCUCUUUUAAGAUGUCUGAUCUCCAGGACCCUAAAACAACUGACCUUAGCCACCACCUCUCAACAGAUGGUUCAACUGGUUUUAUAGAAACAACCAGCAAGAAUCCUAGGGAAAUUAUUUCUUAGGCCCUGCUUCAUCCCGCUCGAGAGAAAUGACAAACCAGCUAACCACGAAGGACCGCACUGCCCUCAGAGUUUCUAAGAGAAGUCUGAUCUACAUCUUUCCCCUCAUGACUCCCAGAAGAUGACUCCCUUGUUUACCUGCCUCUAUAAACCCCCAGGUCCCCUUCUUUUUUUUUGAGACGUUCCUCAUUAAUGAAUGUCCUCCCUAUUGCAAUAGUCUGAAUAAAAUUAUCUCCUUA